UGCUAUUUAGUACAAGAUUAGCAGUUGUAUUGGUAUAUACCACAUUAGUGUUGGGAAUUCAUAGAAGAAAUAAUAUAAGAGACACAGAAAUUAGCGAAGAAUGUAACCAAUUGAUUCAAAGUCCUGAAAUAGAUGAUAGUACAAUAACCAGAGAAGAAAUGAUAUGUCUGUUCUGGUCAUCUGGUAAUUCAAAGGAAGUUGCGGAAGACAUGGCUGACAAGGCUCUCUUAGAAGGUGAUACAAAUGGCAACGGAGCGAUCGAUGGUGAUGAAGAAUUUUAAUAAAGAUCGAUAUGCAUACGUUUGAUUGAAUGGAUCACAGGCAUCAAUUAGAAAUAUGUGUCAUCUGAAUACUUGUUCAAUAAAACAGAU